rnacentral:misc_RNA from 1 species
UGGUUAGUCUUGAUGCAGCGGUUGUUGGUGCAGUUUGGCCUUUUACUGUUAUUUAUACAGGUGGGAUCAAUCCUCUCCUGUGGAGACCCAUUACUGGCAUUGGUUCAUUCAAUCUCCCGUCUUAUGAUAUUGAAAUUACUCCAUUCUUAGGGACUAUAUUGGAUGGGAANNNNNNNNNNNNNUUUCAGUGUCACCAAUGCUUUGAAUGUUUGGUACAUUGAUGCAAAUUUGCAUCUUUGGUUGGACCAUAAGAGCACAAAAACUGAAGGGAAGGUCUUGACACAUGAGAGUAAGCCUCUUGUUUUUUCUUUGGUGUCCAAUUUCAAGGAUUUGAAUGGAACAUUCUUGUCAACAGCACGAAGGUCUAUAUCCUCAAAUGGAUGGGUAAAGUCCUCCUUUGGGAAGAUAACUACUGGUUUUAAUCAACACUUCAGUUACAGCAACUCAAUGGAGAUGGGUGAGGAUGGGAAUUUGCAGAUUGUGAAUCAG